GGGUAGAUGCCCGAGAGGCCAAAGGGAGCAGACUGUAAAUCUGCCGUCAGUGACUUCGAUGGUUCGAAUCCAUCUCUGCCCACCA
rnacentral:tRNA from 1 species